rnacentral:tRNA from 1 species
GAUUGUGAACCUAGAAACAGAAGACUAAACCUUCUUAUUUACC